GAGUGGUACUCAGCAGAACAACAACUAUAUCGUAUAAGCUGCAUCAGAGACAAAUGAAGAUGAAAAAACUAUCCUCCUAUAUCACUAAUCUGUGCUGUGCCCCAACAAGGCCUGCUUUAAAUUUCCAUGCCAAUUACAACCCCCAUUCUGUAUCAGGCAAGGCCAGUCACAUAAUACAUAUCCAAGUCAGAGAAUGCUGAUAUAAACCUUGCCCACCUCUCUCAGCCCGUCUUUCUUACUCAGACAAUUUCUGAGCAGCUCUUUGAUGAACACACAAUCUUCAGUUUCCAGGACAAACUGAGCCACAGCCUUCCCUCCUGGCAGAUGGCUCCUCACCAUCUGACUUUUGACACUGUCCAGGACAACUCCCCUGAUGUCUUUAGGCUUUCCUGGCAUACCAAAGAUGAUAAACAGACCCAGGCAAUCCUCUCCUAUUAAGUUACAGAAUUCUUCCAGCUUAUCAAAUCUACUUUUCUUCCAGGA
rnacentral:lncRNA from 1 species